CCGAUAUAAACACACCUGCUGUAAUACAUAAAUACAUUUGCUUCCACCCGGCUACUACAUCCAGCCAACAGCUCCAGUAGGUUAUGGAGAAGAAACUGGUAGGUGGCUAAGCCGUGCUAGGGAGCGUUAGAAAUGGGGCAGAGCUCCCGGAAAGCCGGGAAGAGUCAGCAGAGGAGCCCUCGGCGGUGCUGGGGAGCUGAGCGAGAAAAUAGUCUGAAGAUGGAAUUCCCAUCUACUUCUAUAAAUUAAAAGUUUGUGGGAAAAAAAACCCCAAAACCAAAACAAACCAAACAACAUAAAUACCCUUGCAAGUGGAAACUCGCUUUACAGUCGCCUAUCUGGGUUGCUCCCAAAUAGGGCAGAGAGUGUCUUGCAGAUGGGAGAGCAUCCUCACAUGCUCAUCAUCUCUCUCUCAAACUCCGCUGGCUCUGUUCCUCCAACCAUUAAAAACUGUUCACAGGUUAUCACCAUAACAACACAUCCAGUGAAAGUCAUCUGGGAACAGCUGAAAUGAGUUCCAACAGUGGAGAUGCUUCUAUAUCCAAUGCCUCCUGCUUCCAAUGCAGAAGUUGUCAGGUUCAGAAUACAGCCCAUCACGAAGUUGGUAGCACAGCCUUUUGCUGGUUUAAAGUAAUCAUCAAAAGUAAGUGCUAAAAAAGAUAUUCCUAUAUGGCUUACAGGAAAGAUCAAAAGAAUAAUCCAGCACCAGACAGCAUCAGUUAUGAAGGAUACCUGAACUGUUCUACUGUCAAGAUGUCUGGGUGGCCACAGACAUUCACUGAACUGACAGAUCAUUCUGAUUAGCUUUUUAAUUAUGGCUAGAGAAGGCUAUUUACAGCACUCCUGACUGCUAUAAACCAGUCCCUGUGGGGAAACAUAAGUAAAAAAGAGGUGAGCAGCUUUAAAUAAAUAACUACUAUCAUUUUCCAUUGUCAAAAAGAAAGGGAAGCGUUUUCUAUACCUUGUAGUAAAUACAGACCUAAACUGGAAAGCACAGUUCGGGUUAGAGUCCAAAACUUGAAAUGAUCUGAAAUUGAGUUAACUUUACCACAGGUAUUUGCUAUGACAAUUUGGAAGGAAUUCAUAAUUUAACUUUGUAAAUUCUUGUAGGUAGUCCAUUACAUCACCUGGUUAAAGACAGUUAUGUUAACCUGAGAUACUUUUUAUAUGAGAGUACUGUACUGUAUUACAGUACACAGAAUAGUAAUACAACUUCAGUAUGAUUUGUCAAGUAAUCUUGAAUUUUCCUCUUGUUGCAGAUUCUCAAGUAUCCCUGGUGACUAUCUGCCUGCAGAAUACUGGAAGUGACCCUUGAAGAAGGAAACUCCUAUUGUCAUCGUCAGGCUGAAAUGAGAUGGAAGUAGGCAGUGCUUGAAGACAGUUUGUGGAAUCCAUUAGGAAGCACAAGAAGGGAGUACCUUGUGAGUAACAGAAACAAACUCUGCUAUGGGCACUGUUCUGUGGAAUAUAUGGCCACAGAUCCGUCUGGGAAACUUAGCCAAAUAUGCUUUCGAGCUCUCUGUAAAGGCAGAAAUUUGGCUCAUAUUCAAGGUUAACUAAGUCAAAUGUGAUUAUCUGUGUUCCUGUCUCUUCACUGAUGAGCUCUUACGUCCAGUGGAACCUAAGGGACAAAGUCAUUAUCAAAUGUCUAACAUAUAAGUCUACAAGUAUGUGGUAUGAACAGUAAAAAUACUCCAAUUUUAAACCUUUCUGUAACACAUUUAGAAGAAUAGGCACAAAGUAGUUCAUCUUCUUUCCUUUACUUUAAAUUCAAUAUACCUAGAAAUGUUUUUACCAUCAUGUUUAUAAUUGUGUUUAGAAUAAGAAAACUCUCAUAGGUAUUUCUGUUCAGUGCAAUAUACUUGUAACAUCAAAAGAGUGUUGUUCCCUACUAAUUCAACAUUUUGCUUUCUUAUAUAUUUAUAUGAAAUGCUAGCGUAUGUACAGUCAACUGUCACAACAUGGAGCAAGACUAAGACUACCCUUUUUCAGAAGAAACCGACCUGAUUGACAUUCAUUACACCAGCAUAAUAGCAGUACCUAUCCAGUAGAGGACCUUCAGAAGCACUUUCACUGUUACAAGCACACAUUUGUCAGGUUUCAUUUCCAAAUAUCAAGAUAAGGAACUAGGCAAAUACAUUCUUUUGUUAAGCUUAUUUUCUACUUUUAUAAUUUGUGCAGUU